rnacentral:rRNA from 1 species
CACGGGGGGAGCAAGCGUUGUUCGGAAUUACUGGGCGUAAAGGGCGCGUAGGCGGAAUGGCAAGUCGGUCGUGAAAUCCUUCGGCUCAACCGAAGAACGUCGAUCGAAACUGCCGUUCUUGAGGAUUGCAGAGGAGACUGGAAUUCCCGGUGUAGCGGUGAAAUGUGUAGAGAUCGGGAGGAACACCGGUGGCGAAGGCGGGUCUCUGGGCAAUUCCUGACGCUGAGGCGCGAAAGCGUGGGGAGCAAACGGG